rnacentral:rRNA from 1 species
ACAAGCGGAGGAGCAUGUGGUUUAAUUCGAUGAUACGCGAGGAACCUUACCUGGGCUCGAACGUAAGAUGACUGUAGGUGAAAGCUUACAUCUCUUCGGAGCAUUUUACGAGGUGCUGCAUGGUUGUCGUCAGCUCGUGCCGUGAGGUGUCGGGUUAAGUCCCAUAACGAGCGCAACCCCUACCUUUAGUUGCCAUCAGGUUAAGCUGGGGACUCUAAAGGAACUGCCUACGCAAGUAGUGAGGAAGCGGGGAUGACGUCAAAUCAGCACGGCCCUUACGUCCAGGGCUACACACGUGCUACAGUGGCCGAUACAGAGGGCAGCUACCUGGUGACAGGAUGCAAAUCUCCAAAGUCGGUCUCAGUUCGGAUCGGAGUCUGCAACCCGACUCCGUGAAGUUGGAUUCGCUAGUAAUCGCGCAUCAGCCAUGGCGCGGUGAAUACGUUCCCGGGCCUU